rnacentral:rRNA from 1 species
GAUGAACGCUGGCGGCGUGCCUAAUACAUGCAAGUCGAGCGAACAGAUAAGGAGCUUGCUCCUUUGACGUUAGCGGCGGGCGGGUGAGUAACACGUGGGUAACCUACCUAUAAGACUGGAAUAACUCCGGGAAACCGGGGCUAAUGCCGGAUAACAUUUAGAACCGCAUGGUUCUAAAGUGAAAGAUGGUUUUGCUAUCACUUAUAGAUGGACCCGCGCCGUAUUAGCUAGUUGGUAAGGUAGCGGCUUACCAAGGCAACGAUACGUAGCCGACCUGAGAGGGUGAUCGGCCACACUGGAACUGAGACACGGUCCAGACUCCUACGGGAGGCAGCAGUAGGGAAUCUUCCGCAAUGGGCGAAAGCCUGACGGAGCAACGCCGCGUGAGUGAUGAAGGUCUUCGGAUCGUAAAACUCUGUUAUUAGGGAAGAACAAAUGUGUAAGUAACUGUGCACGUCUUGACGGUACCUAAUCAGAAAGCCACGGCUAACUACGUG